UACAGAGGGGGCAAGCGUUGUUCGGAAUUACUGGGCGUAAAGGGCGCGUAGGCGGCCUUCUAAGUCGAACGUGAAAUCCCCGGGCUCAACCCGGGAACUGCGUCCGAUACUGGAAGGCUUGAAUCCGGGAGAGGGAUGUGGAAUUCCAGGUGUAGCGGUGAAAUGCGUAGAUAUCUGGAGGAACACCGGUGGCGAAGGCGACAUCCUGGACCGGUAUUGACGCUGAGGCACGAAAGCCAGGGGAGCAAACGGG
rnacentral:rRNA from 1 species